GUCGGGAUAGCUCAGCUGGUAGAGCAGAGGACUGAAAAUCCUC
rnacentral:tRNA from 20 species